rfam:Schistosoma mansoni strain Puerto Rico chromosome 1, complete genome
AGCCUUCUGUAUCAGUGCUAUGAUUUCGUCACACACCAGACCACAAGGGCUGAUGACACUCCUAAGAUAAGUGAAGCG